rnacentral:rRNA from 1 species
AUGGCGACCACCGCCAACCCCACCACCGACCUCUUCUCGCGCCUCUCCUUUCGCCGCGCCGUCUCCCCCUCCCCACUCCGCCUCCCCUCCUUGCCGACCCCUUCGCCGCGCGUCUCCGUCGCCAUCGUCGCCCUCCACAAGCGCAACCCCAAGCGCCUCAAGUACGACUCCCAGCGCCAGUUCACGAGAGGGGAUGGCGGGAUGCUGCGGGUGCAGGUGGAACCCUCCGGCGAGGACUUCUGGAAGCUGGACCCCGUCGUCGACCUCAUAAACAGCGGCGCCGUCGGCGUCAUCCCAACCGACACCGUCUACUCCAUUGUUUGUGAUCUGAGUAACAAUGACUCUAUUGAGCGCCUCCGCAGAAUCAAAGGCAUUGUAAAUUCAAAGCCUCUCAGCAUCUUGUGCCGCUCGUUGCGAGAUAUUGAUACCUACACAACAGGAUUUCCUCUAGGUACCAACCAAGGGCAAGCUAACAUUUUCCGUGCUGUCAAGCGUAUAUUACCAGGACCUUACACCUUUAUUCUACCUGCGACUAAGGAAUUGCCCAAGCAAUGCAUCAAGCAUGGGUCAUCUACUAGAUACGCAAAAAGGAGGCAGGUUGGUGUUCGAAUGCCAGAUGAUCCCAUAUGUCAAGCAAUACUGCAAAAUCUGGAAGAACCGUUGAUCUGCACAAGUAAGAAUAUUGAGUUAUAUAAGCUACAUGGCUCUCUGUUUUGGUCUUCCUACACGAAGGAGAUAUUUUACUUGAGCUUAGAGGAUGAAUGGAUACUUGAUCCAGUAACCAUUGCCGAUAUUUAUGAGCCACUGGGACUCGAUUUCAUCGUUGAUGGCGGUGCUAGAAUUGCUGAUCCAUCUACUGUCGUUGACAUGACUGGAAGUUAUCCUACCAUUAUUCGGCAGGGAAAGGGUGCAAAGCUUGAUUGGAUGGUAACAGGCACAGACCAAGAGGCGCAGUCAACCUAUUCUCGUGAAGCAGCUUGA